GGAAGCCAUGUCAUCAAUUUCAGUAGCCAUGUCAUAUUUGUUUUGUGAAAUUGAUAUGACAUAUGGCAAAAUCACUUCGCAAAUAUAGUCUAGGGGAUUUUAAGCUUUUGUUUGACAACAUAAAUAACUGUUAAAAAAAUUUGUGCCGUUUGUAAACAUGGAUAGUAGUAAAUUAGAAAAAAAGAUAAUGGUUUUAUGCUAUUAAAAAAAUUGAAAAUCUAUUACAUUAUAUUAAAAGGUAAUGGAUUUAUAUUACUUAAUAUAUAUAUUCAAAUUAAUCAAAAUAAUAAUGUAAAAUUGAUUUGUAUCAAAAAUUCAUUCAAUAUAUAUAUAUAUAUAUAUUCAAAUUUUGAUUUUUACUAACAUAUUUUCCAUGGUUUUCAAACACAAACCUAAAUUAUGGUUUUUAUAUUCCCAACUUCAAAAAUAUAUCCAAUUUCAAACACCAACUUAAAUUAUGGAUUUUAUAUUUCGCACUGAAAUUUAAAAAUAUAAUAUAUGUGAUUAUUUAUAUGAUUGUACGUAUAAAAUAUUAUUAAUUAUAAGAAAACAUAUUUGAUGGUACAUAUAAAAUACGAUUAAUUAUAUGAUAACACAUAUUUUUGUAACAUCACAUAUAGGAUAUAUAAUAGUGAUUAAGUGUAGACGUUCGGGUUCGUUUUCGGGUCUGUUUAGGAUUUCAUGUUCGGUUCAGAUCUUUGAAGAUUCGGUUCGGAUUUGGAUAAUCAAUUUAAAUUGGGUUGGUUUAAAUAUUUGGAUAGAGAAUUAAUAAUAAUUUAAGUAUUUUUGGAGUUUUGAAUAUAUUUUAACUAUUUUAGAUAUUUAUGUUUGAUUAUUUGUAUAUAUUUUCAAGUAUUUAAACGAACUAAAAAGUAUCAUAUAUAUUCUGAAUAUUUUAUAUAUAUUAAAUCUAAAAAUAAUUAAUAUAUAUAGUAUAUAAAUCUAUUUUGGGAUACCCAAAAUACUGCGGUUCGGAUCGGAUUUGAAUAAUUCAGAUAUUUAAUCAAUUUUGGUUCGGAUUUGGUAUUACUUAUUAAGAUUGGAUCACUUCAAUUCGUCGAAUUCGAGUUUUUUGUCCAACCUUAAAUAGUGACAUAAAAAACAAACAACAUUGUAUUUUCUUUUAAAAAUACAUCCGCGCUAAUGUAGUUAUGAUUACAGCUAAUAGCGGUCGUCUCACUUGUAAAAAUUAUUUCUUUAAGCAAAUCUUGAACUGAGAUAUCUGCUUCGCAAUGGUGGAAUCAUAAACCACCAUCAAAUUCUAUGGAGAGGGCACAAACUUAAGAAAUAGAAAAACGAUGAAAUGUUCUUUCUUCAGACAGCCUGCAAACACCCCAAGUGCUCUCACAAGUUUCUGCACCAAAUAAGUAGAGAGAGAUAACCAAAGGUGAGAGACAGAUUUCGAUGGUAAGACCACCCGCAACGCGGGCUGUUAAGUGAAUCCUUAACAUUAAUCCUUAAGGUAAAGAGAUUAAAAAAAUAUUAAAAUAAUUCGGGAAGUUAAGAAUGAGUCCUUAAUUAAGGGGAUUAAGGACCAAGUCCUUGAUGUGCUGGCACUACGGGAUUGGUUUGGGUUUAGGGUUGUGUUUCGUAAGGGUGAGAAAAAUCUUUCACUUUCGCGAGCAACUUAAAAAAAACACGAGAGGCGAUAGAGCGGCGAUAAGAGAGGCGAUAAGAGAGCGUCUUUGUUGAAGGUAAAUCGGAGCUCUUUGUUCAAUUUCUUUCCUUCUGGAGUGGAUGCAUGUUGAUUUCAUCAGUUUUAAGGCUUCGAUUGUGUGGUUUAAAUAGAUUUAGGGGAUUUUAUCGAAUUAGGGUUUUCGUCUGGGUUUGCUAUUUUCUUCUUCUCGAUUCGCUUGUCUGUUGUUAUCUUCGCGAUUAAAGGUUCGGGAUAGAGUUGAAAUCAAUUAAGGGUUUUCGUCUGGAUUUGAUAAUAUCUUGUUAUAUGUUUUUGAAUGAAAUUCGACUGGGUUUGAUUAUUUGUGGAUUUAGAAUCGCUUAUCUGUUUGGAAUGGUUACAAUCCAGUGAAUCUAAAAUUUUUUUUCUUCUCGCUGGAGGAAGAACUGCGAGAUAUGAAAGCACGCAAAGCACACUACGACAUGCUUCAUUUCCUUCAAGAUGCGCAACAGGGGAUUUCCCAACUGUGCCCCUGUGGAUCAAUCACGAAGGAAUUCGUAGAUGAAUAGGAUGCAUAUGACUACCUCCCUGGGAAAAGAUACUUCAUCUGCAAAGACUACGAGGUUUGAAGUGUUCUGUCUCUUGCUGUUUGAUCAAUUUCUGUUUGACAAAGAAUUUUCUGUGGAUCAAUUGCUGUUUGACAAAGCUUUUUCUGUUUUCGCAGAAUAACGGGCUGCAUUUCAGGCAACCAUUAUGAGUGUGCAACAAGAGGUGGAAAGGCUCAAAAAAUGGGUUCACGACCAUGAGAACCUUCUCAGAGAGUGCGAGGAACUUAAGGUGAGUUUAUAUGUUAUCAGAAUCAAAACAUUGAUAGUUGUUUGUAUGUCAUUCUAACCUAUUGUUUGGUUUCUCUGAUGUUUGUUCAGGCCCAGGUGAGGAUGUUGCUUAUGCGUGUGUCUGAGCUUGAGAGAGUCCUCUGAGGUUAGUGUUUAAACUGACCCGGCUUCUUUAACUGUCUAGUUUAAACUUAGCAGUUAGAAUUGAAACGGAUAGGACUGUCGGUAAUUUUGUAGUUUGAAAACGGAUUUGAUUCCUAUGCUUUGAAAACAAUUACUUUGCAGUUUGUACUUUCCAACUUUGUAGUUAUAAAUGCACACUAAACCACCAUUAAAUUGACCCUAACUGCAUCUUGCAAAGUAAAACUGCAUUUAAUUGUCUCUAGCUAUUCUGAUAUGACAUUUUUCUACUAGGAUUCAAUGUAGAAUCUCUUAUUUAAUCCUCUUCGUUUGUAGUAGAGAAUCACAGAGAGUUCCUCCUAAAUGGCAAGGUCCCCUAGUUUUGUUAACCUCUUAGCGAGUCAAGGGUCAGUUGACCUUGACUCAUUAGAAACUCCUUUGUUUAGUAGCCAAUGUCUUGAAGAGUCUAGUGUCAAAGAAAAAAGGAUGCUGUCGGAAGGUUAGGUCUAUCUCCACUACAAAAGUGUACAGCAGAUCUUCAUAUGCUUGCUUAUGGCUGUGCGGCUGACGCUGUUGACGAAUAUCUCCGACUUGGUGAAAGCACAUCACUUUCGUGUUUAAGCAAUUUCACUGAAGGCGUAAUACAGUGGUUUGGAGCUGAGUAUCUACGGAGACCCACUCCAGAGGAUCUUCAAUGACUACUCGAUAUUGGAGAGAUACACGGUUUUCCUAGGAUGAUAGGAAGCAUCGACUGUAUGCAUUGGGAGUGGAAAAAUUGCUCAACCGCUUGGAAAGGACAGUACACAUGUGGAUCAGGAAAGCCGACCAUUGUCUUGGAGGCUGUAGCUUCACAAGAUCUUUGGAUCAGGAAAGCCGACCAUUGUCUUGGAGGCUGUUACUAACACCAUUGGAGUUGCUCUAAGAAGAAUACAUCAGAUUUUUACGUAAACAACAAAGUCAAGCGCAUCAAUCAAAAAAAAAACAAGAUAUUCAUAUACUACUACAAGGCAUGGACUUGUGAUUUGACAAACCCUAAACCCUUUGAGAAACCCAACAUUCCCAAAUUCGGUUUCAAACAAUUGCUCAAGACAUCAUCAAAUGUACAAAUAUAAGCUCUGACGUACUUUGGUCUCAAAUCAAACAAAGCGAGGAGGAUAUAUUGGACUUUUAGCUGGAAUAGAUUUAGAGGUCGAACUCUGGGUUAAAAAAAGAUAUGAAUAUAGUGCACUAGGGUCGGUCCGCCCUACAGGCGGGAUUUUUGGUAAAUAUGUAACAUAAUUAUUGAUUUUAGUUAUUAAAUCUAAUUAGUUAUAUUAGUAUGCGAGAUGUGGACAUGUGAUUUUUGUUAUUCGCAGUUUAGUAGUAUUCAACUGUAUGGUUUUGUUUGUUUGAUUGUUCUGUUAGAUUGAUUUUGUGAACAUGGGUCCAGUAGAGGGGAUACUUUUGUAUUAACAAUUUUUACGUAAAUUAUUAUCGUUGGUGAUUGAUAUGUGUUGACAAAUGCGAUGUGUAUAAUUUUCUUGGAAGCUGAUGGGUGAGGCAUGUAUUAUUUUAAAAUGUUAUCGUAAUAGCUUAUUUUAAAACGUUGGGGAGCAGAACUUUUAACUUUUCUUCUUAGAUUUGUUAUUUGCUAAUUGUUUUUAUGUCGUAGUUGUUUAGUGUUUUUGUUGGAAACUGUGGUAAUAUGUUUUGUAUUCACUUCUGCGCAUUUCAAGUGUUGUUGCAGUGGCCACCCAAAAUAUGAAAUAAGAGAAUGAGACAGAUGAUUGACCAAAUUAUAUGACAUUGAACCUAUCAUCCAUUCCUUUCUUGCAUGACUUUAUUUUCUUCCGCAAAGCUCAGGAAUUUGUUGUGUUUCCAGUAACAAUACUUGUAGCUUUUUCUGAAACAAUUGAAAAUAUGUAUUUUUUAUACGUGAAAUGGAAUAGGCUUGUUUAAUAACUUUUUGUCUGGCCCUCUUGUAUUUCUUAUAUAUUAUCGUUAGUUGAAUGUUUAUACAUUUAAAGAUGGUUUUAAAUAUUUUCCAGAAGUUUUAUUACUUCACCGUCGCCAAUUCUUCUUCAACCGUGCCUACAGUGGAAAGUUCAGUCAUCACCAAGUUACAACUUUGUAAUAUGUGGUUGAUGUUUCCUACAUUUCCUUAGACGAUAACUGCCUUUGGUUAGCUUUUUGAGCACCUGCAAUUAGUUACAUUGCAGUCACAACCAUUGACAACGUCAAUCUCAAUGACCUGUGUUGCAGAGAGCAACUUACGCCGUCAACCCAGUUACAGCUGGAUUCAAGGGAUCAUCUUCCUUUGUGAGGUCAGUUACAUGAUUCGAGGAUGUUGUGCUUUGUUGGUGCUUGUUAUUCAGACUGGUAAAAAUUAUUUUGUUGUUUUCUGAAUUGUCAAUGGAUUGUCGGGGGUUUUUUUUAAUAUUGGUUUAAGACAUGUAGAAUGAGUAAUGAUUUUAUUUGUUCAACGAAAGAACCAGAGAAAGAUACUAAAUGAAUUAUGUUAAGGAAUAUGACAAUGGUGACGUGUGAUUUCAUAUAAUUCAUUUGUUUUGCUAUGUGUUAAAUUCUAUCUUAAACUCUAACAUGGUUGUCUCUUUCUCAUUCUCAUUAAUUAAUCCCAUAGUUUAAUUAAUUUUGUGAAAUUUUCAGAACAUGUGAAAUAUAUUACGUUUGCGUGCAAACUAUUUAACUGAAAGUUACACAUUAAAUUCGAACACAUAUAAUAUAUUAUUUAUUAUACUAAUGAAGUGAGUCUCACUCUCUUUAACCUCUUAUUUUAUAACAUUUUUUAACUGGCAUUUUUAUUAAAAGAAGCAAAAGUUUCCUUUUUUAACAGAAACGUAUCCAAGUAUUACAGAAUCCAAUAGUGAUUUUUUUUUAAAAAAGCCCACUUCCUUAAUCAUCUUUUGUUUGGGUCCGAAGAAGCCCAGUUCUGAUAUGUUGGUAAGAGAAGGGUUGAUACCCUAGGCCUAGGUCAUGCUUCUUCUUUUUCGUUCAUGUCAAUUCAGAUAAAACAAAAAAAAUUCUUUUCAUAAGGCGGCAUAGGUGUAGCGGGCCACCGGUGUUGUUUGUAGUCUCCGACUUUACGAAUCAUAUUGGUGGGGUCAGAUCUGAGACAUGUAACCCAAGCCUUCUGCAGUGUCUCUUCUGUAGAUCAUGGCAGUUCGGGUUUCUUCGAACUUGUAGCGUGGUGAUGGAGGUUAAUCGGUGAUGAGACGCGCCGUAGGUGGUGGGAUCUGCUUCAGAUAUGAACCGUCUGGCCUCCCAAUACCUGAACAGCCAAACCUCGACGGUGAUGGUACAAAGGCCGGUUUUCAAUUCAGCGAGGAAAAAAGCGGAGUUACCAUUUUUAUCUCUACAAUUUUUAAAUGUGAUGUCGUUCGUCGGUAAGAAGAAGACUCUUCGAUUAAAGGUUUACACUGGUUACAAAAAAAAAAGCAUUUAUUGAGGUAUCAAGAGAAGCACACGUGUCAGCUUGAGGUUACUCGAUUUUCUGAUGUGGAUGCUGAUGUGUUUUAAGCAGGAGAGAUCAAACUCUAUUUUCUAUAAAUAGAUUGUCUCCUUAACGUUAUGGUUAUUGUAGAGUUUAAUCUAUUACUUCUCCCUGAUGCUUUAGUUUUUCGGAGAGCCCUACUUGCCUGUCUGUUCUUGGCUAAGUUUAGUUGCGACAACGCAGACGGUUACAGGGAAUAUUUUUUGUAGGUGUAUCAAGAAAUGGCAAGUUUGGAAUUGUGAGUAA